ACAGUUUACUCAUUUGCUCUCUUCUUUCAUAGUCAGCUGGUCCCUCUUCUCAGGUGUAGAUCACCUAUUAUCAUUUCACCUGUUUUGAUUCUCUGAUGAGGAAAGUCCCACGACUUAUCGGCUGGGAUAGGCCUCAUUUACAAGACAGCUCUGUUCAAUAUGUGGAAGGGGAUUGCAGUGGCAAAGCUAGGCUAGGUCUUGGAGGCUGGUGGAAGGCGAUGCGGGUGAAGGCUGGAGGCUGAUGGAGAAACUGGGGCGAAGAAAAGCCGAAAUGGAUUCGCAGUGCCUUGGAUGGAGGAUGAGAGGGGAAUUGCAAGCUCCUUCAACUCGUCCUGUCCGGUGAGAAGUGAUCGAGCUUGGGCUGACAAGAGGCUCAGGGAGCCCUCACGUUCUUUCGUUUUUUUACCUGCCAAUCAAACUGCUACAAGACAACACCCUGAUCUGGCAUGGACAUCGCGGGUCCAAGCCUGUAGCCCCAAAUCGGAUAAUCUCUGCAACUGAUAACAAGCAAAAGAGAAGCCAGGCAACAGCCAUAUUAAAGAAGAAUACAAUCAACUCUGAGGAUGCCAAUCUGAGAAUUUUCCCCAAGAAAAUCAAGUUCUUCUUUGAGCGUUCUAUCCUGGGAACUCAGUUCUAAAAUGUAGUCUUCAAGCAAGUGCCAGGAGGGAAGAUUUGAAUAUUCCUUUUUCUUAAAGCCUGGUACUGCGUUUCUUUUUGCCAAUGCUUCGAGUUUUUCUGCUUUCCCGGAGAGAUUGGAAAAAAAAAAAAGAAAAGAAAAGAAAAAAGAAAAAGAACUGCUGUACAACAUGCUAACCCAUUUGUACUUGAAGUUGUGGAAACAGCAUUUUAUCAGCAGUGUUUGUAAAAAUUAGAUUUGAAGUCGGGGUGAGCAUCCCUUUCGGAAGUGGGGGGUGAGGGAGCUUGGAGGGGGCUGGAGGAGGGAAGCAGUUUAUAUACAUACAUCUUCUUUGUGUUUAAAGGCCUCCGAGUCUUGGCUUCUCACUAAGUUAAAUCCCUAUUAUAAAACUUAUCUUCACAAAGCCUAUUAUAGUAUUCUGAGAACAAAUUGGACCAUGAAUAACUUAGUUGGAAGUGUAGAUUAUUUUCUACUCAGAGAAAGUUAGAGAUGACAACAGCUUAACUAAAAGAAUAGUGAUUCAUCUUAAAUAGAUGGAUUUCGAAGUUUCACUCUUGAUAAAGAGUAUCUUUGAUAUUUCCUCUCUUGAGACUCAUGUUUCUACUUUCUUGUAUUAAGAAUUGUCCUAGGGAUUACACAUCCUACCUAAUACAGGAUAGUUCUAACUAGAGAUCAUUUUCUUACAGAUUGUUAAUGUGUCAGUGAGAUCAGAAGACCUUUUGCUUUUUAUUGGUUAAAUACUCAGUUGCAAA